UGAAAUGGAAUCUUAUUUUAUCUAUUUAAUAGAUAAUUUAUCCUCAAUCUGCACAAUGGCUGUAUAAAAGUAAAAUUGUGAAAUGCUGAAGCAAACAAAUAUUCAUAGAUAGAGUGAUCUUUACUACAACUUUGAAUAGUUUUUCUUUAAAACCAUUUUUUUUUCAAAGCCUAUGCACUUAAAUGUUUUAUAGAUGGUUGAGGAAUUCAAAUAUUUUGGUACAAUUCAAACUUUUUUUUAAAGACAGAAUUUUUAAAAAUUUCAUUUCUUCCUGGUUUUCUAACCCUCUCACUGAAGCAUAUUUAUUUUUUAAAGGCCAGUAUGAUUAUUACCAAAGGGAGUUUUAGAAUACCUUCUAUAAGAAGAGCAAACGUAAGUCUAAAGAAAAACAGAACUAGUCUCCUUCUUCUUUGUAAAAAUAAUAAAUACAUUUCUCUUAUAAAAUAUAUUUAAAUGAAAAUAUGAUCAGAUAAUCUUGAUAUAAUAGAAUAAACAUUGAGGAUGAAACUUUUAAUUACUCUUGAUUUUGUGAAAAAAUUAAUAGCUAAAUAAAAGUAGCUGAAUAAAAAAUCAUAAUUCAUGGAGUAUCGAAUCGAUUUUACACAUGGUGUUGGAAAACUUAGCAAAAGAGUUUCUGGUUAUGAUUCCAAAGUAUCUGUAUACAAAUACAUUUUGCUGCAUUUUCUAAUAAAUAGUAGGUUUCAAUAACUUUAAAAGAAUUCCUAUCGAUGAGUUCAUCAAAAAACUACAAAACCAUUUUGGAGUGUUAUGUUUUUUUUUUUCUAAAAAGUACACAUUACUUUUCAAACUAAGCCUUCAUUGUAAAGUAAAAUUAUGCCAUGCACACUCAAGUAAAAAAAUAAGAACACAUAUACAAUAAGUUAUUGGCAUUGAAGGUCUGAAUACAAAUGUAAUAAUGUUAUUGUCACAAGACACAAAGAAGGCAAGAAACUAAGAACUAAUCUACAUGGGCUUCAUACACACAAUUGUGUAUGCCCAAGUAGAGGUCAAUGAGACUAAAAGCUAUCAUCUAGUCCUUAUUUUGUUCAUGUGCACAACAUAAAUUACACUGCAGUUUCAAUUAGAUCUAUAAAGUGUCAUGUCUUUGUGAAAACUGGAUGAUGUAAAUAUUUUAUUAUAGAUGAACCAAAACAAUAAUUCUGGAUUAAAGAUAAUUAAUCCAGUUUAUUUGGUUCUAAAAAUAAAUAAUGUCACAUUAAUUAUCUUUUAUAGACAAGUAUAUAGAAAACUUGUCAAUAAAAUUCAACUAUUUUUUGAGUUGCUACAAUUUUAGAUAAAACAAUUCAACAAAAUUUUAUCCAGUUAGCACAUCUUAGCAUUCAUUUGACUCUAGUUUUGUACUAUAUCAAGAAUGGACCUCAUUCACCAAUUGUAAACAAACAACAAUGAGCCACAUGCUUCCCUAUCUCUUCUAUACAGCUUACAAGAAAAUUCAAAUCAACAAUGGUUAUCACGAGACUGUUUUUUUUCUUUUAUUUAUCAAUGGUCAUCACAUAACCAUUCAUUUUGGUGAAUGAGGUCCAUUAUGUUUUAAAUAAUGUCAAAAUUUUUUUUUUUAAAUGUUAAUCAAAGUUUCUAUAUUUUUCCAUGACAGUUUCUAAUGUCUGUUGAGUGUUAAAGAUCUCGAGGAGGAGUCCUUGAUG